UGAUUCCACAACUGUUUGCAUCAGCCCAACCCACCUCAUCUAUGAAUUGAGACAUGGGGUCAUCAUGGUUUGAUGCGUUCAGUGUUUCUGCAGGCAAGUCUGCUUUAGUUAAAGUGAAAGGAAGCUUCAUUCCAGGCAGGUCAACAGGAUCAAGCAUAGAUAGUGAGUUUAUCUGUGAUGCAUUUACCCAAGAUGAUUUGAUAAUGGCCAUUGAUAAGGCACUCAUGCCAUGAAAGACUAGCCUAGGAACACCUAAUGCUUGGCAUGAAGCAAGUGUAAAGCCUAGAAAGAAAUCCGAAAUAACACACAAAGGAGGGGUGUUGGAUUUUAUCAUGGUUUCCAGUACCUCUUCAAAGGGCUUUUGGAGUUGUUUGGUGGCGUGGAGAAAAGGAAGCAAGAACUCCAUUGAAGGUAGUUGAGAUGUGUUUUCACAACCUUCAGGGAGGCCUUCAAUAGUGGGGAAUGGAAUUUCAUUGAGAUGGAUGUCAGGGUGAUUAGGAACACACUUGGCUAUUGAUUUAGCAUUUGAAGGGGUGGUGAUGAUGGUCACUUUGAUUUGUUGAAGUGAAAGAGCUUUUGAUAGGUCUAGCAAUGGAAGAGUAUGGCCUUGAGACAUGAAAGGGAAGAUGACAACAUGGGAUGCCGAAGGGGAAGGCAUGGUAUCAGUACCCUUGCUCUCUCUAGCGUUUCUAGGGGCUUGAUUUGCUUUAUCAACGAACUUGUGUGUGUUCCUCGAUGGUGCAAAAUAUUGUUGCUUAUAUAUAGAUUCGAGAAGGCAAUGCCUCACAAGUCGUGAAUUUGAAUCUCUCAAUUGUAAUGGAAAAAUAAUAUAAUAUAAGAAACAAUCUCGAUGGACACUUUUACCCAA